rnacentral:rRNA from 1 species
GACGUAGGGCGCGAGCGUUGUCCGGAUUUAUUGGGCGUAAAGAGCUCGUAGGCGGCUUGUCGCGUCGAAUGUGAAAACUCGGGGCUCAACUCCGAGCUUGCAUUCGAUACGGGCAGGCUAGAGUUCGGUAGGGGAGACUGGAAUUCCUGGUGUAGCGGUGAAAUGCGCAGAUAUCAGGAGGAACACCGGUGGCGAAGGCGGGUCUCUGGGCCGAUACUGACGCUGAGGAGCGAAAGCGUGGGGAGCGAACGGG